AUUGAACGCUGGCGGCAUGCCUAACACAUGCAAGUCGAACGGGGGCAGCAAUGCCCUAGUGGCGGACGGGUGAGGAAUACGUAGGAACCGGCCCACGAGUGGGGGACAACCUGGGGAAACCCAGGCUAAUACCGCAUACGCUCGCGAGAGGAAAGCGGGGGGACCUUCGGGCCUCGCGCUGGUGGACGGGCCUACGUCCGAUUAGCUUGUUGGUGGGGUAAAAGCCUACCAAGGCGACGAUCGGUAGCUGGUCUGAGAGGAUGAUCAGCCACACUGGGACUGAGACACGGCCCAGACUCCUACGGGAGGCAGCAGUGGGGAAUAUUGGACAAUGGGCGCAAGCCUGAUCCAGCAAUGCCGCGUGGGUGAAGAAGGCCUGCGG
rnacentral:rRNA from 1 species